UUGCUCUCUGUCGGUCCUGCCGGCCGCAUGGAGCCCGAGCUGGAGCACGCACUGCGCAGGACCCCGUCCUGGAGCAGCCUUGUGGGACCUCAGAACCGAGAGCUGAGCUUCCUAGAGCAGGGAGCUGGCACUUCAUGGCCAUCGCCAGCCACGACCAGCAGCUCAAAAAGAAGCCGCAGUAGACGGGGGGCCAAGGCCUCGAGGUGGGCAAGGCAGGAGGCUGUGGAGGAAGAGGACCUGCCAGGCCUGGGGCAAGAUCCCCAAUCCAGGCCAGCUGCUGAGUCCAUCGGGCUGGAGACCACAUUCCCUGCGGCCACGCCCUUGGCCCAGGCUGCUCCCUUGGACAUCCUCCCCUGCGAGUCCGGAGCCUCAGCCCCUGGCUCCAGCACAGACGGCCAGGAGGUGGGCACAGAGGUCCCAGCCACAGCAGCCUGCGGGUAUGAGCUUAGCCCGGUGGAAGAGAGGCCCGCCCCGUGCCCACCCCUGCAGGCCCCGUUACCCAGGCAGGGCCUGGAUGAUGAGCUGCAGAAGCCGGGGGCCCAGGUCUACAUGCACUUCAUGCAGAAGCACACCUGCUACGAUGCCAUGGCAACCAGCUCCAAGCUGGUCAUCUUCGACACCACGCUGGAGAUCAAGAAAGCCUUCUUCGCCCUGGUGGCCAACGGUGUCCGGGCGGCACCUCUGUGGGACAGCAGGAAGCAGAGCUUUGUGGGGAUGCUGACCAUCACAGACUUCAUCCUGGUGCUGCAUCGGUAUUACAGGUCCCCCCUGGUCCAGAUCUACGAGAUUGAAGAACAUAAGAUUGAGACCUGGAGGGAGAUCUACCUCCAGGGCUGUGUCAAGCCUCUGGUCUCCAUCUCUCCCAAUGACAGCCUGUUCGAAGCCGUCUACAGUCUCAUCAAGAACCGGAUCCACCGCCUGCCCGUCCUGGACCCCGUCUCAGGCGACGUGCUCCACAUCAUCACGCACAAGCGGCUGCUCAAGUUCCUGCACAUCUUCGGCUCUCUGCUGCCCCGGCCCUCCUUCCUCUCCCGGACCGUCCAAGAUCUGGGCAUCGGCACAUUCCGAGACUUGGCCAUGGUGCUUGAAACGGCCCCCGUCCUGACCGCACUGGACAUCUUCGUGGACCGGCACGUGUCCGCGCUGCCUGUGGUCAACGAAGACGGUCAGGUCGUGGGCCUGUACUCCCGCUUUGACGUGAUCCACCUGGCCGCCCAGCACACCUACAACCACCUGGACAUGAGUGUGGGAGAAGCGCUGCGGCAGAGGACGCUGUGUCUGGAGGGCGUGCUCUCCUGCCAGCCCGAGGAGGCCUUGGAGGAGGUCAUCGACCGGAUCGUGCGGGAGCAGGUCCACCGGUUGGUGCUAGUGGAUGACAGCCAGCAUCUCCUGGGCGUGGUGUCCCUCUCCGACAUCCUCCAGGCGCUGGUGCUCAGCCCUGCCGGCAUCGAGGCCCUCAGUGCCUGAGAAGAUCCGAGUCCUCCUUCCCAGGCCGCCUUCCCCACCCGGAGCCCACGAAGGGAGCUGGGGCGUCGGCCCUCAUCUUCCCCCACCCCCACUAGCUGGUUCGACUCUGGUUCAGGCUUCUCCAGCCCUCCCUAAAUGCCCCUGCCCUGCCUAUGCUCCCAGAAGCCCUCGGGAAUGCCCAGAGCACUAUGGGAUGGUGAGAUUAAGGAGAAAAGCUGAGUCAAGCCUAGAGGUCCCUGAACCAGAGGCACUGGGAUUGCCCCAGGGCCGACUGCUCCACGUCCACCCACGUCACUUUCCCCUCUGUCCCAUCGGGGCGGCGAGCCCACAGGUUUAGUCAGGGGCUCUGGAUCCUUCGGCUUCUGGACUACCUGCUGCUCUGCGUCCCAGCUCCUGGGAGUGCAGCUGUCCUUCCUGUGUGAGAACUGCCUUGGCGGUUCCCACCUUGUUGCCACUGCCCUCCUACUCUGCCUGCACUGACAUUUCGGGGCUGCUGGGGGCGCCAUGGAGCAACAGUUAUUGGUAGAGCUGCCUGUGGGAGUGGGGUCUCCCCUCCAUCUGCGUCCUCAGCUCUCGCCAGCAGUGUUCCCAGUGCCUGGCGAAGGCCCCGAGUUCAGAUCAUGAGGAGGAACGAUAGAGAAAACAAAGAGAGCAACCCGUGAACUUAGAUUUUAUGUUUCACUCAGAAAACGCUACAGUCAUUUGACGUGAGCCUGUGGCAAGAUCCCUCCUACUUUCCGAAUUGGAAGACGCGAAGGAACGUCUGUAACUGGCCAGUGCCGGAAGCGGCGCUCCUUGGGUGCACACAGUGCUACUCCACCGACAUUUCUGUUUCAUCUUUUAUUUAUAACAAAGCCACAGAGAAAAUAUUAGUUCCUUGCACAGUAGCUACAACUCACUCCAUAAAUUCCGGUCUGCGAGAAGCUUAACUUUGUUUUUCUAACACUGAAUGUUGUUUCUGUUAUGAAGCCCCUUUCUCCAGGUGGUAGCAAUUAAUCUCAGUCAGUUUGAGGUUCCCCUCCCAUCUUCUCCUGGGGUUCAGUGAGGAGGAGGAGGCUUUCAAUGGUGUAAGAAUUUGUUCCUCAGCCAUCAUCAUCAUCCACCCGGGUCACCUCCUGUUGCACACCCCCAUUCCACCUGGUUGUCACAUGGUGGGUCAUCGGUGGGCAUGACCCCUGCUCAGUGACCCCUCACUCACUGCCAUGAAGCCUCAUUGGGCCUGCCUGCCCUUGGGCCAUGAGGACAUUCCAGCUCCUGGCCCUGCACCCCUUGGGCUUCAGGAAGCUCUGUGGGGCUGUCCCAAGCCCACCUGCUGAGAUGGACAGCCACUGGCCUGUUCUAUUGUGAGCCUUUCGGAUUUUCCUGGGAAACAUGGGUCCCCAGGGGGCUUCUAGCCUGUGCCCUCCAAACCUCUCUGGGGUAUUUGUUGUUCUUCCCACCGCCCCAGACACAGCUCCUUCUCGCAGGGACCCCAGAAUUGUCUAUAUGCUGCUUCUCCAAGCCCCACCGGCCUGUAAAUCUCUACCCAGUGGGAAGAAGGGGCAUUUUUCUCUGACCCAUCAUAUGCUCUUCCAAAUCCGCUGUGUGUGUCUUGAGUUUCUGACACCCAUCUUGAGAGUUGGGGUUUUGAAAUUCCAAAGUCAAGUCCGAGCUUCUGCUGUGUGGCCCUCACUGUGACCAGGGACACUGCAGGUAGAGCUGGUCAGUGGGGAGGGAGAGGCUAACAUAUCGGAAGCAUGCUCCCUCCCUCCCCGUUCACCUCACAGAGCAGCAGAGUGCAGGCAGGGAGGAGCCUGAUGGGCCAGGCAGCAAAUGCAGGUGUUUUCCCAGACCCCCACCUUAUGUUUCCAGUUGGCUCUAGCCCACAGGUCAGGGGCUGGCUCUGCUCUGGCCCUACCUAGGGAGGUACUGGGUCUUGGGCUCAACUGGGAGGAUGGGAUGCAGGCGUAUGCCCACUCAAGUGACAACAUCCUUGGGUGGGGGUGGGCAGGGCAGGCUGCCCCUGACCGAGCUGGCUCUAGGGAAAGUGCGGGAGGCUCAGGCUUUGGGGGGGGUGGUGCCCUGGGGUGCCCAGGCCUUCAGAGGUCCCAGCACAGGCCUUAGGUGGAACAGGCAGCCUGGGGAAGGCAGUCUUUACCCGUUCUGCUGCCCUCCAGAGCCGACGGGUCUCCACCCCGCUGAGGUCCCAGCAGUUCACCGCCCUGGGGAGAACUUUCUUUCAGUUGAAGGCACAUGUGCUGUGCUGAGUUAAUGUGCACCCUUCUGCAAAUCCUACUGUUGUUCUUUCCUUACAGAGUCGGGUCAGGGUGGGUUAUCAGGGAGCCUCCCGGGACCCCCCCUCCCCAUGCCGUCUGGGGCAGCACACCGUCCUGAGACCCCAGACCCUGGAAGUGUGCCUCAUCACCCUCCGGCCUCUGAUGGGCUUUGUGCCACACCUCAAACCACAGCUGUUUUUCACCCUCCAGAGAGAAAUGUGCAAAGGAAAGAGCCCACACUAUUGCAUCACCAAAGAAAGUACUUUUUUCAUUUACAUGAAGUGUCUCGUGCAGGUAUUAUGCCGGAAUGUAAACUGACAGAGGCCAUUUUCACACACCCCCCUGCCCCAGAAUAGGAGAAAGAACUUCAUGUGCACGUAUGGUGUACACGUGCUGUUCCCCAGGUACAUUUCAUCAGUCUUUUUAAAAAUAAAAAAAAAAAAGAAUAUCUAGUAUAACAAAACCUCUUUGGCCAUGCUGUAUUUCAUUUUUCUCUGUUCGGGGAAGAAGUCUUUGAUUCUUCUUCCCAGAGCUCUGUCUGUGGGCCAGGUUCCCCAGUCGUGUUAAUAGCUCUCCGGCCCUUUCCUCCUGGGGGACCCAGCGUUCCCUCGUCAGUGGUGGCCAGAGCUGUUGGGGGAGCCUUGGAGGCUGUACCUACAUACACCUCACCUGCUCUUUAAUUGAUCCUCACACGUACAUCACCGUUUCACCAACUGCCCAGCUCUUGUUUCGGCUCUGCGUUUCCGGUUCCCGACUGGCGGCUGCACUUUAGGACGCAGAGACGCACAGCAGCGGGACAGCCCCGGCCCAGGACGCCCCGCGGUGCCGCUGGAGGUACUGUUACCGUCGGCAGCUAUUUCUAGCCACUCAGCUCCGCAGAUGUUUUUCAACUGAGAAAUAAUUCACAUGCCAUUGACAUUCAUUCUUUCAAAGCGUACAAUUCAGUGGUAUUUAGUACCUUCACACAGUUCUGCAGCCAUC